AGUGAACGCUGGCGGUAGGCCUAACACAUGCAAGUCGAACGGCAGCACAGGAGAGCUUGCUCUCUGGGUGGCGAGUGGCGGACGGGUGAGGAAUACAUCGGAAUCUACCUUUUCGUGGGGGAUAACGUAGGGAAACUUACGCUAAUACCGCAUACGACCUACGGGUGAAAGUGGGGGACCGCAAGGCCUCACGCGAUGAGAUGAGCCGAUGUCCGAUUAGCUAGUUGGCGGGGUAAUGGCCAACCAAGGCGACGAUCGGUAGCUGGUCGGAGAGGCUGAUCAGCCAGCAUGGAACUGAGACACGGUCCAGAAUCCCACGGGAGGCAGCAGUGGGGAAUAUUGGACCAUGGGCGCAAGCCUGAUCCAGCCAUACCGCGUGGGUGAAGAAGGCCUUCGGGUUGUAAAGCCCUUUUGUUGGGAAAGAAAUCCUAUCGGUUAAUAACCGGUGGGGAUGACGGUACCCAAAGAAUAAGCACCGGCUAACUUCGUGCCAGCCGCCGCAGUAAAAC
rnacentral:rRNA from 1 species